rnacentral:misc_RNA from 1 species
UCUUCAGAUGAUGAUCCCAAGCCUUCUGGCGAUCUCUUAUAAAGAAAGCCCUCCAUAAUAAAUUGAAAAGGGUCCUUUGGGGAAAAGUUUUCCCUUUGAUAAGAUGAAACCGGGGAAGGUUUUCCGGUUUAUCCCGGAGGGCUUGUAGCUCAGUUGGUUAGAGCGCGCGCUUGAUAAGCGUGAGGUCGGAGGUUCAAGUCCUCCCAGGCCCACCAAUCAUUCUAUCAAUCUAUAAGCGCUUGUGGAAAUUGCUCAUAGAAAACUUUCUUUAUUCAUUUAUGAAAAAUCUCCUUAUAGAGAUAGAGAGAGACGCUUUUCCCUUUGGGUUUGAAAACUCAAGAUUACAGGUGUUAAAGUGGCUUUAAAGGAAAAGUGACAAAGAAUAAGGAAUAACGAUUUAAGUUAUCCCUUUUUGGUGAUCUUGAUUUGGGUGUUUUGAAUGCGUUAUGUUUUUUAGGGGGGCCGUAGCUCAGCUGGGAGAGCACCUGCUUUGCAAGCAGGGGG